AUUGAACGCUGGCGGCGUGCUUAACACAUGCAAGUCGAUCGGUAACGCGGGGGCAACCCUGGCGACGAGAGGCGGACGGGUGAGGAACGCUUGGGAAUCUGCCUAUCAGCGGGGGACAACACGGGGAAACUCGUGCUAAUACCGCAUACGCUCUACGGAGGAAAGCCGGGGACCGCAAGGCCUGGCACUGAUAGAUGAGCCCAAGCCGGAUUAGCUAGUUGGCGGGGUAACGGCCCACCAAGGCGACGAUCCGUAGCUGGUCUGAGAGGACGAUCAGCCACACUGGAACUGAGACACGGGCCAGACUCCUACGAGAGGGAGCAGUGGGGAAUAUUGGACGAUGGGGGGAACCCUGAUCCAGCGACGCCGCGUGGGUGAAGAAGGCCGGCGGGUUGUAAAGCCCUUUCGGUAGGGACGAAAGCUCUCGACCUAACACGUCGGGAGGUUGACUUAACCUACAGAAGAAGCACCGGCUAACUGUGUGCCAGCAGCCGCCGUAAUAC
rnacentral:rRNA from 1 species